GAUGAACGCUGGCGGCGUGCUUAACACAUGCAAGUCGAACGGAAAGGCCCAAGCUUGCUUGGGUACUCGAGUGGCGAACGGGUGAGUAACACGUGGGUGAUCUGCCCUGCACUUCGGGAUAAGCCUGGGAAACUGGGUCUAAUACCGGAUAGGACCACUUCUUGGAUGUUGUGGUGGAAAGUUUUUCGGUGUGGGAUGAGCUCGCGGCCUAUCAGCUUGUUGGUGGGGUAAUGGCCUACCAAGGCGUCGACGGGUAGCCGGCCUGAGAGGGUGUACGGCCACAUUGGGACUGAGAUACGGCCCAGACUCCUACGGGAGGCAGCAGUGGGGAAUAUUGCACAAUGGGCGCAAGCCUGAUGCAGCGACGCCGCGUGGGGAUGACGGCCUUCGGGUUGUAAACUCCUUUCGCUAGGGACGAAGCUUAUUUUGUGACGGUACCUGGAGGAGAAGCACCGGCUAACUACGUG
rnacentral:rRNA from 1 species